CGAUUCCCAGGAAACAUUCAACGCUGUCGGUGAGUUUGUGUCCAAGGGAAACCACUGGCCGUUGAGUGUACCCUGUGCCUCG
ensembl:miRNA